CACGUAGGGCGCAAGCGUUGUCCGGAAUUAUUGGGCGUAAAGAGCUCGUAGGCGGUCUGUUGCGUCCGCUGUGAAAACUCGGGGCUUAACCCCGAGCCUGCAGUGGAUACGGGCAGACUAGAGGGUAGGUAGGGGAGAAUGGAAUUCCCGGUGUAGCGGUGAAAUGCGCAGAUAUCAGGAGGAACACCGGUGGCGAAGGCGGGUCUCUGGGCCGAUACGUGACACUGAGAAGCGAAAGCGUGGGGAGCGAACAGG
rnacentral:rRNA from 1 species